UACAUUCCAUGAUGUCCAGCACUGGGCUCUGAUCACUCCGGAGGACACAGUUUUCCCCAAGACCAUGGCUACCUGGGGAUCUGAGAGAAAA
ensembl:snoRNA